GACGAACGCUGGCGGCGUGCUUAACACAUGCAAGUCGAACGGAAAGGCCCUGCUUUUGUGGGGUGCUCGAGUGGCGAACGGGUGAGUAACACGUGAGUAACCUGCCCUUGACUUUGGGAUAACUUCAGGAAACUGGGGCUAAUACCGGAUAGGAGCUCCUGCUGCAUGGUGGGGGUUGGAAAGUUUCGGCGGUUGGGGAUGGACUCGCGGCUUAUCAUCUUGUUGGUGGGGUAGUGGCUUACCAAGGCUUUGACGGGUAGCCGGCCUGAGAGGGUGACCGGCCACAUUGGGACUGAGAGACGGCCCAGACUCCUACGGGAGGCAGCAGUGGGGAAUAUUGCACAAUGGGCGGAAGCCUGAUGCAGCAACGCCGCGUGCGGGAUGACGGCCUUCGGGUUGUAAACCGCUUUCGCCUGUGACGAAGCGUGAGUGACGGUAAUGGGUAAAGAAGCACCGGCUAACUACGUG
rnacentral:rRNA from 1 species